rnacentral:rRNA from 1 species
UACGGAGGGAGCUAGCGUUGUUCGGAAUUACUGGGCGUAAAGCGCGCGUAGGCGGCUUUGUAAGUUAGAGGUGAAAGCCCGGGGCUCAACUCCGGAAUUGCCUUUAAGACUGCAUCGCUAGAAUUGUGGAGAGGUGAGUGGAAUUCCGAGUGUAGAGGUGAAAUUCGUAGAUAUUCGGAAGAACACCAGUGGCGAAGGCGACUCACUGGACACAUAUUGACGCUGAGGUGCGAAAGCGUGGGGGAGCAAACAGG